CACGCGAGCACGAGACCGAGCCGUGGAAUUGCUUGUGUGUAUAUUAAAAUUACUAACGGUUGAGAACCGCUGAAUAGUAGAUCGAGUUGGCCUAUCAACCGUCAGUCAUUCCCAAGCCGUCGUCGGACCAGGAGCCCUAUAGUUUUUGUUCAACGCAACUGUUCUGAAUAAAUAAAUAUCUCUUUCUUCUACAUUCCGGAGAGAAAAAGCGGAAAAAAGGAAGUCCAACGCUCUCAAGAGAAACUAUCUCAAGUGUGACGCCUGGCCGUAUAUCAGAUACAAUUGUUGAGAUUUUUGUUUUCCGUAUAUCUGCUCUUCAACCCCUUCGCUAUUUUUCUUUGUUGUUUCGAUUUUGACUGCGUUUCGCGGGGAAGACGAAGAAAAAAAAAUAAAAACCCCCAACGAUUCCCGACAUCUGUCGAACGAAUAAUUGACUGAAAGUAAAUGUGCCGUCUGCUCCUUUUUGUCAACGGUUUGGCAGAUUCGAUCGUACUCGUGUGUUGGAAAUUAUAGGAUACCGUCGUACGUUCGCUAACUGCAUCGUCGACCGACGAAUGAGCUGGAUAUUCGAACGAAACCCAGUUGACAGUCUACCCAAAAGACGAGGGACGUCGCCCCAGUCGCGCUUGUUACAACCCCUAUUUUCGACGCCGGUGCAAAUUCAGAUAUCGUAGUUUUUCGUUUUUUUUUUUUUUUUCUCUGAGAGGGAGAAAGAGGAAAAGCUUCUCGUCCUCAUUGUCCAUGAAUUACCCGGCCAAUUUCAACCAACCGAUGAUCAUAUUUCAUAUUUGACCCGGUAUAAAGCCUGACGUAGUCCGUUAAGUUGAAUUUUUAAUAACACGCGAUCGUUGCGAGAUCGAUAUUACCCAGAUUUCGAAAACCAUCUCACGACAUUCUCGUCGAUAUCGUCGUAAAAAUUUUUAGACUCUCUAAAUAACGAUACCGGUUGAAGAAAAUUUCCUUUUUUUUUUCGCCGAGAAAGGGUUGAAACGCUAUUCAUUCCUAGAAUAAUAUCACUGCGCAUUUGGCGUAGCACGUAUUGACCUGUCUCGCGCACACCUGAUCGUAACGGCGGGGGCGUAACGAGGUUUCAAGACGCCAUCUCACGGCGCAAAGUUAUAAAGGGCAGUAACUCGAGGGGUGCGUGAACGAACGAGACCAACCAGAGGAAGACCAGACAAUUCGACGCCCCGGUCGUGUGGCGGCCCAGACCGCGGGGCGCCCUUGAAAAUCGUCGUAAGGGGAAGCAACGGAUCCGUACGAUCGGAAAAGUUGGUGACGGUUCCGGAAGGGAGGAAAAAAAUUGACAAAGGACCCGUUCGACUCUGACUUCGCGGCGGUGAUCGCGGGGUUGGAAAUCAAACACCUAUCCGGCAGAUUUAGCGGAGGACAAGUUAAACCUGAUAUUUGAAUGGGUGGUCCAGGCGCCGGACGGGCGACGAGGCACGAGUUGAACAUCGUGCCAAAUCACGUCGGGCACGGGGAGCGAGUACUCCUCAUUGGGGAGUCGCCGGUACCAGCGUGUCGUUGCUGCCCCCCAAAUCCGGCGACGAUACCUCCGCCGAUUUUGAUAAGGGCGAACGAAUUUCAACCCUCGAUAAUAUCGCCCUCGAGUAUAUCGUCGCCAAUUUUAACUGUGCUACAAAUUGAAAACGACAUCAACGCUGACGUUAUCAACGGAUCCGCUAAAACAGCGAUGUCAUCACCUCCGAAACAUCGAAGGGGAUUUGAUCCGAAUGAUGCUACCGCUAAUGACUUCAGGAGAUACCGACGCGUCAAGACGAAGCAAAGAUCGCUGCCAAAGCUCAGCAGCCAGGACGAGGACGGGCCGAACCCCCACACGCAAUAUACAGGCGUCACACACUUCGAGCCUAUACCUCACGAUCAUGAUUUCUGUGAAAGGGUCGUCAUCAACGUGAGUGGGUUACGGUUUGAGACACAGCUUCGCACGUUAAACCAGUUUCCGGACACGCUUCUUGGCGAUCCAGCACGACGGAUCAGGUACUUCGAUCCCCUUAGAAAUGAAUAUUUCUUCGACCGAAAUCGACCCUCCUUCGAUGCGAUCCUCUACUACUACCAAAGCGGAGGUCGCCUUAGACGCCCCGUCAACGUACCGCUCGAUGUCUUCUCCGAGGAAAUCAAAUUUUACGAACUCGGGGAGAUGGCCACCAACAAAUUCAGGGAGGACGAGGGAUUCAUUAAGGAGGAAGAGAAGCCACUGCCGUCGCACGAGUUCCAGAGGAAGGUGUGGCUGUUAUUCGAGUAUCCGGAGAGCUCGCAGGCGGCGCGAGUUGUUGCGAUAAUAUCAGUGUUCGUAAUACUUCUGUCGAUCGUGAUAUUCUGCCUUGAGACCCUACCGGAAUUUAAACACUAUAAAGUGUUCAAUACAACGGCGAACGUAACGAAGAUAGAAGAAGACGAAGUGCCGGAUAUAACGGACCCGUUCUUCCUAAUAGAAACUAUUUGUAUAAUCUGGUUCACGUUUGAGUUAUCAGUACGCUUCCUCGCCUGCCCAAAUAAGCUAAACUUCUUCCGUGACGUAAUGAACAUCAUCGAUAUCAUCGCAAUCAUUCCAUAUUUCAUUACAUUGGCCACUGUUGUGGCUGAGGAGGAGGACACGCUCAACCUGCCAAAGGCUCCGGUCAGCCCGCAGGACAAGAGUACAAACCAGGCUAUGUCCCUAGCGAUUUUAAGGGUCAUUAGGCUGGUCAGGGUCUUCAGAAUAUUCAAACUCUCGAGGCACAGUAAAGGGCUACAAAUUCUAGGUCGCACUCUCAAGGCCUCGAUGCGUGAGCUUGGCCUGCUCAUCUUUUUCCUCUUCAUUGGUGUGGUGCUAUUCUCGUCGGCUGUAUACUUCGCUGAGGCAGGCUCCGAGAAUUCAUUCUUCAAGUCCAUUCCGGACGCUUUCUGGUGGGCUGUUGUCACGAUGACGACCGUCGGCUAUGGUGACAUGACGUAUGAUGCCCGUCGGAGUCUGGGGGAAGAUUGUUGGAUCCCUUUGUGCAAUUGCUGGUGUCUUAACCAUUGCUCUACCCGUUCCAGUCAUCGUUUCAAACUUCAAUUACUUCUAUCAUCGAGAGACUGAUCAGGAAGAAAUGCAAUCGCAGAACUUCAAUCACGUCACAAGUUGCCCGUAUCUACCUGGUACAUUAGGUCAACACAUGAAAAAGAACUCGAUGUCGGAGUCAUCUUCGGACAUAAUCGAGCUGGAGGAAGGUAUUUUGUUGACUCAUCACGAGGUUGCC
rnacentral:misc_RNA from 1 species